rnacentral:rRNA from 1 species
UACGUAGGGUGCGAGCGUUGUCCGGAAUUACUGGGCGUAAAGGGUCUGUAGGUGGCUUGCUAAGUCAGACGUGAAAUCCCUCGGCUUAACCGGGGAACUGCGUCUGAUACUGGCGAGCUUGAGUGCAGGAGAGGAACGCGGAAUUCCAGGUGUAGCGGUGAAAUGCGUAGAUAUCUGGAGGAACACCGGUGGCGAAGGCGGCGUUCUGGACUGCAACUGACACUGAGAGACGAAAGCCAGGGGAGCAAACGGG